CAACAAUUCAUAAAUAAUUUGAGUGCCGAAGUAAAAAAUGAAAUUUUAAUCACCAGUUCCAUGCCAUUGGGAUGUUUGAUGAAGAUUUACUACCUUAAAAAUACCAUCAGAAUGUUCAUCCAACUAGCAGAUUGAGAAUGUAUUAUGGGAUAUAGAAAUAGCUUGCAGUGCCAUCAAAUUCUAAAAAAGAACUUAAUUUUCUAUGGAAAUAACUAUUUACUGUAGCUGUGAACUCAAAAUUACGUUAUGCAUCAAGAAAAAUUAAAAAAAAUCUUGGGACACCGGUGUUCCAUAUACAUACGUGAAAGAGAUAUAGGCCAAUAUUCAAACCAUUUGGUUGAAACAUUUUGAACGUUCUUAUUUCGAUUUUCAUCAUUAUAAUGGCAUUUUUAAGCCUAUAGUUAAAGUAAUUUUUGAUGGGGGCUAUAUAUGAGGGGUAGGGUCACUUAUGAGCCGAUCCUCAUAAAAUUUGGUAGAGUGUUUGUGCUUCCUAUAAAACUAGUUUUUGAUGAAUUUCAUCGCUAUACUGGUAUUUCUAAGCCAGGUUUGACUGCUUAAACUGUAUUCUGGGCGGACACUUAUGUAUGUAUAUGGGGCUAUGGGUGAAAUUGUUGUCCGAUACUGUCUAUUUUCAAUA